UACGUAGGGGGCAAGCGUUGUCCGGAUUUAUUGGGCGUAAAGAGCGUGUAGGCGGCUAGGUAGGUCCGUUGUGAAAACUCGAGGCUCAACCUCGAGACGUCGAUGGAAACCAUCUAGCUAGAGUCCGGAAGAGGAGAGUGGAAUUCCUGGUGUAGCGGUGAAAUGCGUAGAUAUCGUAAGGAAGACCAGUGGCGAAGGCGGGUCUCUGGACAGUUCCUGACGCUGAGGCACGAAGGCCAGGGGAGCAAACGGGG
rnacentral:rRNA from 1 species